CCGCCGCCGCAGCACCCACAUCCAUCCUCUCCGCGGUGCACGUCCUCCCUCCGCUGUCGUCGAAUCCGGUCGAGAUCGGCAGGAUUCACCGCAUCUCGCGCGACGCCCAUCCCAUGCACCCAGCCCCCGCCAACGACAGCUGCCCAGCACCCUCGAUGGCGCGCGCCUCCAGCAUCCUAAGCAUCAGCGGCCACCUCCCUGGGAGAGCUCCUCCUACCUCCGGCGGAGGCGCAUGAGCCGAGCCCGGCCAUCAAACGCCCGUGGCCGUGGCCAACACCAACCUCCAGGCCGCGUCAGCGUUCGGUGGCCAACUCUUGAUGGAUUUCCAAUGUGCCUCCAUCCUUCCUUUUUUUCCGGGAAUCUACUCCAAUGAGUGAAUCAUAGCCACCAAUAAGCAGGCACCCAGUGAAGAUGUCACACUUUGAUGCGAAAUGCCUGAUAUCACAUUCAUCACCAGGAAGGGUCAAGAUGUACCGCAUCAAAGGCAUCGGCAGUGCUACAAGAGUUGAAGAAAGAAGAGUAUUUGGUGUUGUUACUACUAUCUGUGAAGUGUCAAAGCUGCCGAAGAAGACAUUCCACAAUUUCUCUUUGUGUUCUGAUGCCGAUAAAUAAACCCAAGAGUGAGAAAGAUGUUGGCGAAUAGAUAAAAAUAGCUAACCGGAUUGAUGUCAGAAAACUAUUAUGGUAACAAUAAACUAUACUAUGUUUUAGGGAACUAUAUAACAAAGUCAUUUACUGUGGUAGAAAAAAGUAGUACAGUCAAUCUUGUACCUUUACAACCAAGAAACAGGGGAUAUGGUGUGCAAAAAUAGCACAUGAUGAAAGCACAGACUUCAAAUGAAUGCUCAUGUCUUCUUUCUAUAAAAACAACUCUUAUCAUAUUGUGAUUGAUUACAAGAACUGCACUUAAUUGAUUUGUUUUCUGUUAGGCAGAAAAUAUGUUGUUGCGGGGAUUCUAAAAAGCUUGAGGUGGUACCGACCGGGAAGGAGUUUAUGGAGUUAUUCGAGGUAUCAUCUUUUUGAUAUAGAGCUGACAUUCCCAUUGUGUACUACAAACUUGAACUGGCAACUUCAUUUCAAGCAUCGGGUUGACUUGAGGCCUGACACCAGUGAGGUAAGAGAGGACAGUUCAUCGCGGUGGCCGUUGAAAACGGCCAGGACGCCAGGUUGCCCGUCUACCAUCUUCUCCAGCCUGCUUCAUAUGUUGUCCUUCUCCCCCUCUGCUUUUUUUACGGCGUCGUCGCCACUCUGUGCCUGCCGCAACGUCAGCCCUCCCAUUUUUGCACUAUCGCCACCACCAACGCGCUAGCCCGUGCAGCCACCUCAAGGGUCCUCCACCACCCAUGCCAUGUCCCAUGUGUGACGCGAGAUCUGCCUCAUCGGGCAAGGACACCAGAACCUUGGCUGCCAUCUCACACGCGUUGGCGUGCACCUCGGUGUGCGAUGAGAAUGAUGCAUGUUCCCAAUGGGACAUCUUUCUUCAGCAAAUUUUAUGUUCUUACAAGGAUAGUUUACAAGAUCGUGGUAUUAUCGUUACAGCUAUCGGUGACAUGGUUUUCAGUAGCCAUGGCGACAUCAGGUGAUCCUUAUGAGCAGAAUCAUCAUGGCAAACAAACGGGUCAAUAGAAUUCAUAAAGUUGCAGUUCAUUUGCUCCAUUCAAAUAAUGCUUUCAGUUUCAAUGAAAAUUGUUAACUAGACUCCCAUGAUUGCGGUGGUGUAUUAUUCUGCAAAAAGUAGCUUUUGUGGCCUUUUAAUGUUUUCAUUCACAUCCAUGGUCAUAUUGCCUGACAAGAUGCGAGUUAUCAGCCACUUAGUUCUCAUCUUUAUUUCCAUCACACUUGGACAAUUAAUUAGCUCUGUUGCAUCAUGCUUCUGGAUAAUGAAUAAAAUGAUGUACCGCUUUGAUUACUUCUUCAUCAACCUAUGUUCCACUCAACAUUCCUCUUUUGGAUUACUUCUUCACCAACUUAUGCUCCGCUCGCUUUAAAAAAAACGUAUGCUCCACUCUACAUUUAUAUCAUGGAAAAAUAGUUGUCUAUAGUGACCUUGUAUAUAGUUGUUUUGGCAGGCAUGGUGUUUGCAUUUUUCUCUUAUUUACCCAUUGCAACGCACGGGCCCUUUUGCUAGUAACUUCAACUCCUGGAACAUCUCAUAUGCUCCAUGACACUCAAAAUGACGUUGAAGUCCCGGUUCUAAGCCGUAAAGCAUGGCACACUGAACU